UGGACAGAUAAUAACCAGUUACCAUGGUAUUGCAACUAUAUAAGAAGUUGCACAUACGCAUUUAGUUUGACGUAACCAACCGGAAAAGAAAUCGGAAAAGCAAUUCUCAAUAAGUGGAAUGCAUAUGGGAUGCCAUGGUAUGGAGGUUGCAGAGGUUGAGCUAGGAGUUUUUGAAAAAUUUCUUGAUGAUCAACUUUUCAUUUUGUACUAGACGCAUUACCAACUCUAAAACAAUAAACAGAGGAGAAACCGAGUAGAUAAUGUUAACUUUCUUCUUUGUAUUAAUUUUUACGCUUCCGUCAUUGCGAAUGACGCCUCGGCCAAUAAUAACACCAAUAAGCCUGGUGUUCUUAUCAACGAAAUCAGAUAUAUCGAAAAACAAAACGAUAAACACAAUGCAUUGCUUUACAUUCUGUUAUUUAUUUUUGGGAUAAUACACCCUUUUUUCUGGAAUAACCAUUAUUCUGUAACCACAUUCUGUAUGUAUGUGCCUGUCCCAAGUCAGGAGCCUGUUAUUCAGUGGUUGUCG
rnacentral:lncRNA from 1 species